rnacentral:rRNA from 1 species
GCUUGGCGUCGUCUACCAUGCAGUCGAGCGGUAGCACAGAGAGCUUGCUCUCGGGUGACGAGCGGCGGACGGGUGAGUAAUGUCUGGGAAACUGCCUGAUGGAGGGGGAUAACUACUGGAAACGGUAGCUAAUACCGCAUAAUGUCGCAAGACCAAAGAGGGGGACCUUCGGGCAUCUU